ACUUUUCUAGUGUAACUAAUACAAAUGACUUCCAAUCAUUUAAUCUUGGUUGAAACCCAAGGAAAAGUA
rnacentral:tRNA from 1 species